AAUAUUGGACCAUGGGGGCAACCCUGAUCCAGCCAUGCCGCGUGUGUGAAGAAGGUCUUCGGAUCGUAAAGCAUUUUAAGUCGGGAGGACGGGCCUUAGGCUAAUACCCUGAAGUUUUGACGUUACCAACAGAAUAAGCUUCGGCCAACUCUGUGCCAGCAGCCGCGGUAAUACAGAGGGUGCAAGCGUUAAUCGGAAUUACUGGGCGUAAAGCGCGCGUAGGUGGUUCAGUAAGAUGGGUGUGAAAUCCCCGGGCUUAACCUGGGAACUGCUUUCAUAACUGCUGAGCUAGAGUACGGUAGAGGGUAGUGGAAUUUCCUGUGUAGCGGUGAAAUGCGUAGAUAUAGGAAGGAACACCAGUGGCGAAGGCGACUACCUGGACUGAUACUGACACUGAGGUGCGAAAGCGUGGGGAGCAAAC
rnacentral:rRNA from 1 species